rnacentral:rRNA from 1 species
UUAUGCCUGGAAUGGUUUAUGUUUCAAAUGAUUUAUCGCCGUAGGAUGGGACUGCGGCCUAUCAGUUUGUUGGUGAGGUAAUGGCCCACCAAGACUAUUACAGGUACGGGCUCUGAGAGGAGUAGCCCGGAGAUGGGUACUGAGACACGGACCCAGGCCCUAUGGGGCGCAGCAGGCGAGAAAACUUUGCAAUGUGCGAAAGCACGACAAGGUUAAUCCGAGUGGUUUCUGCUAAAGGAACCUUUUGUCAGUCCUAGAAACACUGAUGAAUAAGGGGUGGGCAAGUUCUGGUGUCAGCCGCCGCGGUAAAACCAGCACCUCAAGUGGUCAGGAUGAUUAUUGGGCCUAAAGCAUCCGUAGCCGGCUCUGUAAGUUUCCGGUUAAAUCUGUACGCUCAACGUACAGGCUGCCGGGAAUACUGUAGAGCUAGGGAGUGGGAGAGGUAGACGGUACUCGGUAGGAAGGGGUAAAAUCCUUUGAUCUAUUGAUGACCACCUGUGGCGAAGGCGGUCUACCAGAACACGUCCGACGGUGAGGGAUGAAAGCUGGGGGAGCAAACCGGAUUAGAUACCCGGGUAGUCCCAGCUGUAAACUAUGCAAACUCAGUGAUGCAUUGGCUUGUGGCCAAUGCAGUGCUGCA